UCUCCACAGGGCCGUUUCUGAAGCUCCUCACAGAUGUGGCUGCAUUUAAACAGCACUCAGUGUCUGUGUUAGCCUGAGAUAUCACAGCCGUACCUGCUGCCACCUGGAAAAAACACACAGUCCACUGGAGAAGAAGAUCAGAGAUGGAUCUUGAGAAUAAAUGUAUGUCGGCGCGACAGAAGAAGAUGAUGCACAACCAGGAUCAAACGGAGGGUUUGUUGAACUGAAGGUUGUGAGGAAGGACAUUUGCGUCUGUGCUUGAAGCGACAGCUUCAGUGUGAACGAAUGCAGAGCGACAGAGCCAUUCCAAGCGCGUCCCAGAAGUCGCAGAUGUCGUCGCGUGAUCCUGUCUGCGCGUGUGAAUGCAGCGUGAGGUUCAUGAUGAGCCAGCCGCCGUUAGACGUGUACCGCGGCCACGACGGCGGACGCUGCUGCCGGCAGAAAGCGCUGGCGUCGGCGUGUGAUCCGGGGUCGCCCGUGUGAGCGAACGCGCCCCAGUA